rnacentral:rRNA from 1 species
UCAGGAUGAGCGCUGGCGGCGUGCCUAAUUACAUGCAAGUCGAACGCACAGCGAAAGGUGCUUGCACCUUUCAAGUGAGUGGCGAACGGGUGAGUAACACGUGGAUAACUACCUCAAGUUGGGAUAACAUUUGGAAACAGAUGCUAAUACCGAAUAAAACUUCGUAUCGCAUGAUACAAGGUUAAAAGGCGCUACGGCGUCACCUAGAGAUGGAUCCGCGGUGCAUUAGUUAGUUGGUGGGGUAAAGGCCUACCAAGACAAUGAUGCAUAGCCGAGUUGAGAGACUGAUCGGCCACAUUGGGACUGAGACACGGCCCAAACUCCUACGGGAGGCUGCAGUAGGGAAUCUUCCACAAUGGGCGAAAGCCUGAUGGAGCAACGCCGCGUGUGUGAUGAAGGCUUUCGGGUCGUAAAGCACUGUUGUAUGGGAAGAACAGCUAGAGUAGGGAAUGACUUUAGUUUGACGGUACCAUACCUGAAAGGGACGGCUAAAUACGUG